UACGGAGGGUGCAAGCGUUAUCCGGAUUCACUGGGUUUAAAGGGUGCGUAGGCGGGCAGGUAAGUCCGUGGUGAAAUCCCCGGGCUUAACUCGGGAACUGCCAUGGAUACUAUUUGUCUUGAAUAUUGUGGAGGUAAGCGGAAUAUGUCAUGUAGCGGUGAAAUGCUUAGAUAUGACAUAGAACACCAAUUGCGAAGGCAGCUUACUACACAGUUAUUGACGCUGAGGCACGAAAGCGUGGGGAUCAAACAGG
rnacentral:rRNA from 1 species